UAAGAAGUUCAAAGAGGCAAAUUAUUGACUUGGCCAAGGUUAUGCAGGAAAUUUAUGAAAGCCAGAUUCAUAACCCAGUCUCCCGCCUAGGGAUGUCAACCUGCCUGAGGAUGACCAACUGCAAGCAAGCUAGGGAGGAAGAUUCGCAACCAGCAGCUAUAUCAAAAGUGUUGGCUGAGUAUCCAAGAAUCCGUCUCAUGACUCAAGAAUCAAGACAGGACCAAGCAAGCAGGUUUCGCUAGUGAGAAAGUUGAGAACUGGAAACUUCCGCUUUCCUCAGAAGGCCGCUGUGAGGAUUUCACCUGCCUUCUGAAAGGAGGCAAGAACGAGUCCUAAACUGGUCCAUACCCUCCCCCAAUCCCUUCAUGCUUCACUCCAUAGCAAAUGCUUGGAAACUGCAGACAGCGUAGCUGCCCUCUGAAGCUCAGCAGCUCUUCCCACCCUUAUCCCCAACUACAUGGAGAAUGAGACACAUGUGAACGCUCUUGACAUGCAUCAUGAUAAUUUCUAAAGGGACAAAAUGUUAUAUAAAAAACACGGCCUCCAGAAGAUGGCCUUAUAGGUAGAACAGCCCCGAACAGGAGAGGCAGGACAUCAACAACUUGGACUUGCCAGAGGUGAGCAUCGUCUUCUUCCUGUCUUAGUCCACGGGGUCGGUGGCCCCAAGCAACAAGGAGCACCCAGCCUCUCUCCUCCUGGUCUCAGCAUCUGAGGAACGCUCCCUGCAUCAGCUGCCUGACUGCAGCCUGGGCUGGACCCAGUGAAGCCCACUAAUUUCAGUCUCAUCGAGCAUCUGGAUGAGUAAUACGGAAAUCACAUCCGGAGGAUGCUACUGGAGACCGUGGCACCAUGCAAACCCAGGGUGGGGAUGAGGUUAAAAUUCUGCUUCGGGGGCUUCCCUGGUGGCGCAGUGGUUGAGAGUCCGCCUACCGAUGCAGGGGACACGGCUUCGUGCCCCGGUCCGGGAAGAUCCCACAUGCCGCGGAGAGGCUGGGCCCGUGAGCCAUGGCCGCUGAGCCUGCGCGUCCGGAGCCUGUGCUCCCCAACGGGAGAGGCCACAGCAGUGAGAGGCCCGCGUACCACAAAAAAAAAAAAAAAAAAAAAAAAAAAAUUCUGCUUCGGUUCCUGCGUGUUACUUCAACCUUUCAUAUGUGUUCCUGAUUGGCUUGUGGACUAGAAUGAACAGAAUGAGAGGCAGCCAUUUUUAAGGGAAUUCCUAGCUUUGGAUCUCAGGUUGGCCUAGAGGUUAAAAGGUUAGUCAGAAUGGAAAGCAGAACCUGGUUGGAUAGAUCUGAAAUUCCACCUUCAAUGCUUUGACUACAACCAAAAUACAAAUAUUACUGGGAUAAGUAACACAUUCAGCUUCUGUGAAUCACCUAUAACUUAGGGUGAAUGGAGGUUUUGAGAACUGGUUUUGCUGGGGGAAAAUACAGGUGGGUAUAUGCGGUCCAGGCAAGAGAGAGGGGCCUGGGGACAGGCAGGUAGGUAAAGUCAGAGGAAAGACCUGAUAAAAGGGACCGGCUGAGAUGCUCCAGAUGGAUCUUCGCUCCCUUCUGUAUAUUUAUUCUUGAUCAAAAGGAAAACAAUCCCAACGAGGAGAAGAGAAAGAAGGUGACGACUGAUGGGGCAAGGAGAGUGUACCUCUCCCAACAAGCACUUCCAGACACCAAGCACAGACUCAACCCCGAGGCCAACUUCAUCACCACAUACCAAUAGUAAGACCUUGAGCAAAUCAGUUAACCACAGUUUCCUGAACUGCAAAAUGGGGACAGCAAUAAUAGCAUCCUCAAACGGAUGCUGAAGGAUUACAUGGGCGAAUUACUUAGAGCAGCGCCUGUCUGGAGAUAAUGGUUCUAUUCAAAUGUCAGCAUAGCAUUCAUUCUCCUCCUCCUCCUCCUCCUCAUCAGCUUCACCUUCUUCAUCACAGCUAACAGCUUGCACCCAAUCCCCAUGGCCCUCUGGGGGAGAAGUAGGAUCCCCCUAGACAACUUUUCCAGGAGAGCAAAGCAGCUUUGGACAGCAGAGUUUCUUAUGCUCCCUGCUAUGUGACCUCAGGCCGAUCCCACACCCACCGCAGGUAGAAGCCAGCACCCACAUACUGCACUUCGCAGAGGAGCAAGCCCGUUGCCUAGACUGGAAUCACUUGGGCUGAGAUGGAGCCCUUCUACAGCUCCGGUAAGAACUGCGGCUUGCAGGAUCUCAGUUCCCCCACCAGGGAUCGAACCUGGGCCCCCGGCCGUAAAAGAGCGGAGUCCUAACUGCUGGACGGUCCGGAAAUUCCCCUGGGAGUAUUUCUUGCCUACAAUAUACAAAAAUGAAGAACUGGGGACAUGAUCUACUCAAUAACAUCCAAUGCUUGCUUGAGUCAUGGCAAAAUAUACACAGAAGCUCUACACAGAACACAGAUGAAAUAGAUCCAGGGAAGUUCUGUAUUGGAUGAAAGAACAUUCUUCCCUACUACCUAAAUGCUGCCUGCAGGAGGACGAACCAUCCAAAGACUCCUUUGCUCCUUCAAAUGAGAGUCUUUAUUUGUGACAUGCAGAGGAUGCAUCUAUGCUACCCUCUGGAUAGCACCAUUCACAAGCCCAUAGGAGAUGUGUUCAUAUAUGUUGUGAUCACGAACACAUGCUUUGGAGUCUGAGAGACUUGCAUACCUGCUAGCUUGUGACUCUAGAGUGUUCCUCAACUGAUCUGGACCCCAUUUUCCUCAUGUGCAUAGUGGAAAGACUGUCCUGCAGGGAUAAGAUUGUUGUAAUUUAAUGAGAUAAUAUACAUCAAAUGCACGGCCCAGGGCCUGGGAUAUGGAAACGCUAAAUAAAUGAGUUGUCAUCGUCGUCAUCGUCAUCAUCAUCUCAUCCAAUCCAAAUAGUGUCCUGGCCUUAGUUGUCCAUGCAGGCCACCACACACCGCAAGAAGGAUAUCAAACACUUUAUGCUCUUGAAUCUGUACUUUUGACAAGUCGGGGACAGCUGACUGUAGUGCUCCUGGGUGGUCUGCAGAAACACUGAGGCUGCACAUGGUAAGAAGGGAAGUGUGGUGAGACGAGUAAACUGGAAGCCAGAGACCUAACGUUAGUCCUGGCUCACAUCUAACUCCCUGUGUGAGCCUGACCAGUUGACUUGAUCACACUAGGCUUUGGUUUCCUUAUUUAACGAACAAAAACGAAGAACAAGAGACUAUGAACCACAUUACCACUUCCUAGACCAAUAAGCCUGGUAAGCAUCACUAGUGAAUCUCAGAACUCUUUGCUGCUGAGCAUGGCUGGGACUCAGAAUUUAUGUCAAUAGAGAUGUGGAGAUUUAACCAAAUGAGCAACUUAUACCAGGAGCAGGUCAGGGAGAAAUUUUGGGUGGUCUAAGAAAACCUCAAGGAACCCAAUACCAUACUCCCUAGGCGGAAGAGCCCUGGUGCAUAAGAGGUACCCAUUCAUUGACUGUGCUCUGAGACCCUAAUUUUUUUUAAAAAUUCCAUGUUGAGCUCAUUAUUCACACUUACACACAUACACCUAUAUUCUCUAUCUCCUGCUCGACAACCAGCAAUCUCACACACACACACACACACACACACACACACCCUAAGAUGUACAUAUAUAUGUGUGAAUACGUAAUAUACAUCUGUAUAUCUUUUCUAUCCUGCUCUGCCACUUUUGCCCUAAUCAGGUCAUCUCUUUAGGCCUCAUGUACACAGAUACAUUUAUUACUUUUGGUAAUUCUAAGUCUAUACCGUUUAUCCUCAAGCUAAUUUUGUAAGAUAUUAGCUCCAUUUUACAGAUGAGGAGACUGAGGUCGGGAAAAGUUCAACAACAGCACAGAAGAGCUGGAAUCCAAACAAGGUCUUGUGAUUCCCAGCUCUAAGCCCUAUGUACACAGCCUCUAACAUGUUACCGUGGCUCCAAGGUGGCCUCCACAGGGCUCUCCAUCCCUCUGUCUCCAGAAGCCCUCCAUACCCACAAUCUCCCAGCACUAGUCUUUCCCAAAUCUCUCAUCCAGGUCCUGGCAGCCUCUGGCAUUUCCCAAGCACACAGUUCACCAAACGGGGCCAUUUCUUCUUUAUUAUCUACACAACUAUUCUUAAUUAUUUCUCCUCCAACCCAAAGUACUUAUUUCUUAUUUAUGGGUGUAAAUAUAAAGCCAGCAGGGCUCAUAUUUCACAGGGAGUCAUUCCAACGGCAUCUAGAGCCUUCCAAAUUUAAGGAGUAGGAGAGCUGAUUCUCUGCCCGUUUCAUUACAAAGGUUUUCCAUAAAUAUUAGAAUUUGAAUUCCACCCAAGUAAUGCAUUAAUAGAUGCUAAACCAUUAAUAAUUUCUGUACUUUUUCAUAAAUGGGCAAAGUCCAAUAAAUAAACUAUAUCUCUUUCACAGCAGAGCAGGGUUAACAAGUACCAAGGAGAUUUCAAAGACAAACUACUGGUAGGGACUGCCAGGAGGUAAGAUUCAUAAUGAAACCACAAAUUCUGGAGACCCAUUUUUUACUCUCCGCCACGGCAAGUAUCUAAAAUUAAGCGCUAAGCAGAAAUCCGUCCUAGAAUCUGACACACAGCAGUUUAGGUAAACAAUCUCCAAAAUUAAAAACAGAUUCUGGAUAAUAAAUAAGUCCGUGUGUGGAUCUCUCUGAUAACAGAUACCUCACCCUGAUAAAUGAAAGGCGCUGGCCCUACCGAGCCUUUCUAAAUUAGGCCAGAUGAUUCACCUAAAAUAUUUCAUCUUGUGUCGCCUGUCUUAAUGAACGGCAGUAAUGGAUAGCUUCUUACCGGUUACUGCAUCAGAGCCAAAGGCCUCCAAGCUAAUUAUACUGCAGGCCUGGGGAAGGCAGCCCAUCUGGAAGGGGCCAGCAGACAGGAGGGAUUUCACCAUGAUACUCAUUUACCAGGUCCCAUGACCCAGGUCUGCUAGUUUCACUUGCUACUGUCCUAGAAUUCUAGAAGGCGAUCAGAAUCAUAGACGCCAGACAGCAAAGGUCAACACUGCAGGAGGCAGAAAAAGGGAGUCCAAGCUCCACCAUUCCCAGCUGUGUGAACUGGGACAAACCCCUGGACACCUUUGGGCCUCACUUUCCCCAUCUGUAAAGUGGGGAUGAUAAAUGCCUGCCUAGCCUACCUCCUGGGGCUGUAGUGAGGACCAACAAGAAAGUGCACAGAGAUGCACUCUGUAACCCCCCAAACAAUCUUCUGUUAUUACUGUUUGAACUAAUCAAGUUCCGUCGUUAAUUUGCCCAAAUGUAUUGAGCACGCUAUAUGAGUCAGGUGCUAGGAAUGCCUCAGUGACCAGAGAGACAAGACCCAGCCCUCGUGGGGCUGGAUUCUGGGGAUGGCAGGUGUGCAACCUCGUGCAAAAAGUGGGCUGUAAAGGGGAGGAGAGGAUGGCGGAGAAAAACCGAGCAGCAGAGGCAGCCAUGGUGAGCCUGGGCAGGGAGCAGAGUGGCUGUUUUUGACAGGGAAGGCCUCACUGAGGACACAACUUUUAAGGAAAGCCCCUAAGGAGGAAAGAGAGGGAGCCUCAGAGAUACCGGCAGAGAAAGAGAAGAAACCUAAGGGAAAACACCUCCAAGUAGUGUCUGAGGAGUGGCAAGGACUGGACACAGCUGUUUCUGCAGAGGGACCAGGGGCAGAGGGGAGGCUGGGGCAGAGGUCUGGUGGUUCAGGGGUGAGCUUGCCUGGGACCCCUGGAGGAUGUCGGCCUUUGGAAAGAUUUUAGCAGGGGAAUAACUGGGUCUAACGUAGCAUUUGAAUGGGAGCACUCUGGAGCUGCUGUGCUGGGAAUGAUAAACAAAUACCAUACUACUCUCUUACGUUACUAUUAUUAUUGUUACGGCAAGCAUUUGUUCUGAUCCAAAGGGCAUCCUGAUGGCGGGGGGGGGGGAAUGGGAAGGGGGCUAAGGGGGAGGUCUACAUGCUCACAACAACGAAGCGUAGAGAGGACUGCAGUGGGCAGACCACAGGGAGACAAGAGCUGGGGACAAGUGAGCCCCAAGUAGAAGGGAGCCUGGGGAGUGGCCUCCCGCAGCCAGGCCUGCCCGCUUCUCCAGCCAGGUUGUGGAGAGCUUUAGUGGGGAAGAAGGGCAGUGGGAGGAAACAAGAAAACGGACUUCUCCCCCUUCCCAUGCCUUUGCUGCAGUCAGUCAAGCAACAUGAAGCCCUACGCUUUCGAAGCCUGGAGCCUGAAUCUUUAUUACAAAUGAAAACAAAAUUUUCUUUUACAGAAAGAGGAGCUUUGUUGAAGGCCACGGACCACAUUUUAUCAGCAUCUGGCGACGGCACAAGUGGCGAACACAACAUCAUAAGAGAAGCCAUCUUGCCUCCUGCUUCGGAACAGAAAAUGACGCCGGGGUCAUUCCAUUAGCAAUCGCAGCUGCUUCUAAAUGAAACACAGAGAACCUGAAGCCGACUAAUGAAAGCAGCCGGCGAUCCUCACCGAUGCUAAUGCUGAACGGAUCUUUAAACCUCGCUCCUUCACCAGCUCCAAGCUGCGUCACAGUUCAAAAAUCUCAAAAGUAUUAUACAUGUUAAUUCCUGUGUGAAGGAAAUUACGACUCAGCAUUCUUUCCUUUUCUGAUUUCUGGCGACGCAUUUGUUGUGCAGCUGGACUGUGUAAUGCUCCCUUCCAAGGAGCAGGCAAGUCCAGUGGCAACAUGGUCAAAGCUUGUUCUUCUACAAAAUGUCCACAAAGAACAGGGAUAUGCAUAGAUGCGCGCGCGUAGAACCACAUCUGGAAAGGCUGUGAAGUGGAGACGAAGAUGGGGUGGGGCAAAGGUGUCCUGUUUUCAGGCCAGCUAGUGGCACUUCAGCUCACUAAACUGAACCAGUCAUGCCUAGCUAGCACCUUUGCAACUUUUGCUAUGCUUCUGUACCACUGCUAUUCAUAUUUACUUCUUGUGGCUCUAAAUUGGUAGUUCUCACUGCCUGGGGACAAUCACAUCCCCCAGGGAAUAUCUGACAAUGUCUGGAGACAUUUCUUUUUUUAAUUUAUUUUAUUUAUUUUUGGCUGCAUUGGGUCUUCGCUGCUGCGCGCAGGCUUUCUCUAGUUGCAGAGAGCGGGGGCUACUCUUCGUUGAGGUGCACGGGCUUCUCAUUGUUGUGGCUUCUCUUGUUGCAGAGCAUGGGCUCCAGGCACGUGGGCCUCAGUAGUUGUGGCGCACGGGCUGAGUUGCUCCGCAGCAUGUGGGAUCUUCCUAGACCAGGGCUCAAACCCGUGUCUCCUGUAUUGGCAGGCGGAUUCUUAACCACUGUGCCGCCAGGGAAGCCCUGGAGACAUUUUUUGACUGUCACAACCUGGAGGGAGGCGGUGCAACUGGCUUCUACUGGAUGGAGGCCAGGUAUGCUGCUAAAUACCCUACAAUGCACAGGACAGCCACCCACAGCAAACAAAAGCAUUAUCUUGUCAAGAUAUCAUUAGUGCCAAGGUUGAGAAAUCUUGCUCUAAGUUGACUCAUUUCCCCCUACAUUUAUGUUAAAAAGGGGAUUAUAUCUAUAAAGGAAAGGCCAAGAUCACCUAUAAUGAAUAGAAAGUGUCCAGAGUCAUAAGUGCAAAUUAUUCAAAAAACAUACCCAAUGAAAACAAAAUAUUACAUUUUAGUUAGAUAUAGUAGCCUGCUCUCUUUGUUUAAAAAACAAAAGACAUAUUUACCUCCAAACUGAGACUUUCUCCUUAUUAUGGUCAAAACGACAGAAAGAGAAUUGAAAGGGAAUACCUUUUCCUUAUGUGAUUGAUGAUGCAUCCAUGUACCUCCCCAAAUCAUCUUGGGUACCACCAGCAGAAGGUGAUAUUGGCAGAGCUGAUCUGUCAGUCUUCUCAGCGCCAAAACACGGGUAUGGCUGUGGCUAUUUACUGAUGAGGAAUCCCAAAGGGACAAAAGCAAUGAGAAGCCAGAGUUAUUUGCAUUACGCAUCUCUUGGGAAGCUGGUCAUGGCAAGAUGGAGAUGCUUGGCUUAGAGACAGGAAAGCACCACUCAGAGAUUUAUAGUGGAGGGAGGUCCCUUCCAACAUCUGAGGUGAGACUGAGCGAUGAAAGCCUUUCCAGAUGGCUUUGCGUAUGCAAAUCAAAGAAAAUACGGCUGAUUCCUUAGGCACUGUUUUAUGACCCAUAUUCAACACUACUCUCACGCCAUGAGAAAAGUAUCCUAUGGUCACAUAAGCUACCUAGAGCAGCUGGCUGAACAAAACCUGAAGGUUUUCUUACUGCCAAACUUCUCUGAGCUCUUAAUACAAUAACGAGGACUGCAAAUGCCUAUCCCCCUCCCCUAGGACAAAGGAGAUGCAACAUUUCUCAAACUUAUCAAGACACAGGUUGCUGUGGGUUUUUUUCUUGUGGAACAUCUAGUCACCCCCUGGUAUUCCAGGGAGCACAGCUUGAAUAACUUAGUCCUAGAGGAAAAAGAAUAUUUCCUUUUCAUCAAAGAAUAUGAGUGUUUUGAAAAAUUACUGUUGUAAAAUUACCCAUACCUCAGAAAGAAAGCAGAAACCAUAUUUUAUUGAUGAUUUAAUCACUUGUGUCUGCUAAAUAGGCACUCAAGAUACAUUCAUUCCAAUGCAUGACACGCACUCCUCAUUAACUCUCAGACCCUUCAGAAUAAUUGGCUCUAGAAAUGAUUAAGAUCUAUGGAUCCAAACAACCAUAUACCUUGGUUCUGUAGCCCCGGGGGGGUGGGGGGAAAGGAUGCUCCGGAUUGAAAACACUAUCUAAAAAACAUCUCGCUCAACUCCUAUUUGAGACCACAGCCCUUCUGCCGUGUCAGCUCCAUCAUUCAGCCUCUGCACACCCCAAGCAAUGACCAGGUUUGGUUUUCUUUGGUUUUCCAUCUUCCCUCAACAUUGUGUCAAAAACUCUUUUCAGAACCUCUUCCAGCUUUACUGCAUCUUUCCUUGGCGGGUCUUUGCCUGCCCAGCAUGCACUCACCUUUUUUCUGAGAAGAGCACCUUGGUGUUCCCCAGGGAACCCCACCACCCCAGACUACCCAUCACUGAGUUCUGCAGUGCUGACUCCACCCCGGCUCCAGGAAGGCACCUAAACGGGCCUGGCCAACCAGAGCGUCAUAGCCCCAGACUGCGGAGACUGGCUCAGGAUAGACAAGGGACCUGAUCAAGGCCCUUAAGACCCAACUUGGGGGUGUGAUGGAAGAGAUGGUAAAAGGGGCUCUCUUUUUCCACUAAGGUAGCUGGGAAGAUAACACAGAAGUCCUGGGGGGUUAGCGGCCUUCUUGCCUCCUUGAGGGGAAGGCCCGAGAGUCACCAGGCAGGAAAGCAACACCCUGAGGUGGAGGGAGAAAGACCACUUGUGUGCACUGUUGGGCCAUGGAGCCAGCCAUGCCCAACAGAUACCCCUGCCCUUUUCAGAUACAUGCACUAAUAAAUUUCCUUUUAUUUACAUUAACUUACACUGAGAUUCUGAUUAAAACUUGCAAUAUGCUGGACGCCAUGGUUGGUAUCUAAAACUCCCUCUUGCUUACUUUCUCUCCAUUUGUUAACAUUCCUUCUUUUCCUACUCUCUUCCUUUCCCAUUUUGCAUUUUUCCUUGGAAUUCUCCCUCAAAGUCAGAAAAAAAAUAAAGAAUGUUUCUGCUAACCCCUUGUGUCCGGCCCCCUCCAACAUGGUGUCCAUUCUCAAGAGACCACCGUCAAACCUCUCCCCAUUUGGGGGGACAGGUAGUUCAGCCACAGAUAACUGUUUGCACAGAGUUUAUAUAUCCAGGCUGUUGUUGUAUUCGUACAAGAAAACUAGAAAAAUAUCUUCAUUCUCACCAUGAUAAUGCACCAGGGCUCCCAGGACUUGGACUUGAAAACUAACACAUUUAUUUAUGGACUGAGGUUUAUUAAGAAUGACGUUCGGGGGCUUCCCUGGUGGCGCAGUAGUUGAGAGUCCGCCUGCCGAUGCAGGGGACACAGGUUCGUGCCCCGGUCCAGGAAGAUCCCACAUGUCGUGGAGCGGCUGGGUCCGUGAGC